rnacentral:rRNA from 1 species
AUUGAACGCUGGCGGCAUGCCUUACACAUGCAAGUCGAACGGCAGCACGGGUGCUUGCACCUGGUGGCGAGUGGCGAACGGGUGAGUAAUACAUCGGAACAUGUCCUGUAGUGGGGGAUAGCCCGGCGAAAGCCGGAUUAAUACCGCAUACGAUCUACGGAUGAAAGCGGGGGACCUUCGGGCCUCGCGCUAUAGGGUUGGCCGAUGGCUGAUUAGCUAGUUGGUGGGGUAAAGGCCUACCAAGGCGACGAUCAGUAGCUGGUCUGAGAGGACGACCAGCCACACGGGGACUGAAACCCGGCCCAGAAUCCUACGGGAGGCAGCAGUGGGGAAUUUUGGACAAUGGGCUAAAGCCUGAUCCAGCAAUGCCGCGUGUGUGAAGAAGGCCUUCGGGUUGUAAAGCACUUUUGUCCGGAAAGAAAUCAUUGGCCCUAAUACGGUCGGGGGAUGACGGUACCGGAAGAAUAAGCACCGGCUAACUACGUG